CUUCAGUACGGUGGCCCUGAGGUGCAAAACACCACAGCAAAUAAGAAAACACAACACAAAAAGAGAAAGCACGACGGCACAAGAGAAAACACAACACACAAAAAAAGAAAACACAACGGCAAAUCAGGAAGUACAACACAAAAAGAGAAAACACAAUGGUUGAUGUUGUUGUGUUUUCUGAUUUGCUGUUGUGUGUUCUCUUUUUGUGUAGUUUUUUUUUGCUAUUUGCCAUUGUGUUUUGCACCUCAGGGCCACCGAAG